rnacentral:lncRNA from 1 species
CUUAGAAACAUAGAAAAUGUCCACAUAGGCACGGGCUCCAAGCAAACGGGUCCUCCUUUGUGUACGACUAGGAGCUAGAAACCAUCAGCCACAACAUUCUCUCUUGCUCAUUCUCCAAAUAAGUUUGGUGGGGACAUUCUUGCGAGACUAGGACAAAACAUACCACAUAUGAGUAGGGUUUCCCAUCCCUUCCCUUCCCUCAAGGGCGACCACACCGACACCCUAGCUCCACCCCUCCCUGCCUCCCCUUUGGUCGUCGUCGCUACCCUCUGGCAUGUGGCGACCCACGAUAGACCCAAAAAAGAGCAUCAGUUCACGUCUCCCCCUCCCUCCCCCCUCUUCAACUUCGACAAUAGACAGAUGGAUCCGAGCCCCUAGGGGCUAGAUAUAGCGUCUGGUAGCUACGCUCAGCCUUUCGCCCAUCCAACCUCCUCCUCAAUGGCGGCCAGCGGUGGCUUCAUCCAGAUGGCCGAAAGCGGCUCUAGGGCCGUGCGUGCUUGCCUCCAACGGUGGCUGCCUGGCCGAAUUUGGGCCCAUGGGGGAAUCUGGCGCUAGCCGUGACUAGUCUGUCGUCCACCCUCUCCUCCUCAACAACGCUAGGUGGAGGAUGCUGGCCAACAGCCACCCACGCUAGGUGGAGGAUGCUGGCCUUGGACAGUGCUAGCCUGGCUACGCCUAGCGGCAGCAACCUGGCUGUGGCUGGUGGUGGCGGUCGGGCUAGGCCUUGGCUUGGCGAGGCCAUGUUCGGCACCCCAGCGGCAGCUAGAUCUGGCAACUAAGGUGUGCACCCGACUUUGCUGCUGGCGGUGGUCGUUUAGCGCUAGAGGCUUUGGCCUUGCCUCUCUAGUGCAUUUCAGGGCAGACAGUGGUGGCCUAUGCUGAGUCGGCCGGUUAGGCGAUCAUUUUUUGGGUGAAAACUCUGUCUAGUAUCUUGCUUCAGGGCCACUGGCAGUGGUAUAGAUGGUGCCAUCUAUCUUCUAUGUUGAAGUUUAUGUUCAUUGUGCAGGUCAUUAGGGGUGGUUCGAGGAAGAAAGUCCUUCUUGCGCAAUGUUGUUGGCAUAGGUGGAUAUCAUCCCCUUCUUAGAGCCUUUGUUGCAUUGGAGCACUUGUAUUGUCGUCUCGCCUCUCUUGCCGGAGUUGCUCAUAGUUGUGUUGUGACUGCGUGUGAUUCAACUCUUUCUUUGCUUUGGUCUGUCCAGCUCGGCCGUUUGGUGUAGUUAUAGUGCUUUGGUUCAUAGUGGAUACUUGGCUGCUUGUGCUCUUUCUCGACGAAUGCUUUGUCGUCAUUGCUUCUUGAGCGGAUACUUUGUCGUCGAUGUUGCUCCUGUCUUGCAGAUACUUUGCCCCAUGAUCUUUGACGGAUGCUUUGUCGUCGUGCUGCUUGUUGAUCUUGUUCGGACAAAUAUUUUGUCGUCAUAGUCGUCUCUUUUGGUUGAUGGCUUCAUCUCCCCUGUUGGCAGCCUCUGUGUUGUUAUUUCCCUUUAGGCCAGGUUGUGGCGGAGGGCCCUCUCCCUAGUCCCUACUGUGCUUCUUUCUUUCUCGUGUG